CGCACUCUUCGGAGUGAGUGGCAGACGGGUGAGUAACGCGUGGGAACCUACCUAUCGGUACGGAAUAACCCGGGGAAACCCGUGCUAAUACCGUAUACGCCCUUUUGGGGAAAGAUUCAUCGCCGAUGGAUGGGCCCGCGUCGGAUUAGCUUGUUGGUGUGGUAACGGCGCACCAAGGCGACGAUCCGUAGCUGGUCUGAGAGGAUGAUCAGCCACACUGGGACUGAGACACGGCCCAGACUCCUACGGGAGGCAGCAGUGGGGAAUAUUGGACAAUGGGCGCAAGCCUGAUCCAGCCAUGCCGCGUGAGUGAAGAAGGCCUUAGGGUUGUAAAUCUCUUUCGGCGGGGAAGAUAAUGACGGUACCCGCAGAAGAAGCCCCGGCUAACUCCGUGCCAGCAGCCGCGGUAAUACGGAGGGGGCUAGCGUUGUUCGGAAUUACUGGGCGUAAAGGGCACGUAGGCUGGCUGUUAAGUCGGGGGUGAAAUCCUGAGGCUCAACCUCAGAAUUGCCUCCGAUACUGGCGGUCUCGAGUGCGGGAGAGGUGAGUGGAAUUCCCAGUGUAGAGGUGAAAUUCGUAGAUAUUGGGAAGAACACCAGUGGCGAAGGCGGCUCACUGGCCCGCAACUGACGCUGAGGUGCGAAAGCGUGGGGAGCAAACAG
rnacentral:rRNA from 1 species